rnacentral:rRNA from 1 species
UACGUAGGGUGCUAGCGUUAUCCGGAAUCACUGGGCGUAAAACGUGCGUAGGCGGCUUGUUAAGUGAGAUGUUAAAUCGUGUGGCUCAACCAUAUCGAUGCAUUUCAUACUGGCAGGCUAGAGGACGGCAGAGGCAAGUGGAAUUGGUAGUGUAGCAGUGAAAUGCGUAGAUAUUACCAGGAACACCAAUGGCGAAGGCAGCUUGCUGGGCCGACCCUGACGCUGAGGUACGAAAGCGUGGGGAGCGAACAGG